UUCUAUUUUGAAUAUUUAUUGUUAGCACAACUGGCAACCUUGGUACGGGAUCGGACAAACGUCAACGCGUUGGCGCCGAAAAGGAAUUGUCAUUGUGAGAAAAUUGAUCGAAACUGCGACACGUUUUUUCUUGACCUGGCAGUUAGUUAGUUUUUAGUGAAUAGUUUUAGAGAAAACAUAGGUGGAAUCUAUUUGGCUAGUUGCGCGUGAUUUGAGUGCUCGCGGGUUUGUGAGUCGGAAGAGUUUGAGUGACCGUUCGGUUGUUCCGGUUAGGUGUACCGGGUUGAGCUCAAUUAGAGCGGUAGGAAAGAAAAAGCCUUCAAAUAGCCGGUGAUAUCCGACGGUUUAGAGUUGCCAGAGCUAGAGCUUAGGGUAAACGGCGAAACUUAUUUGUAA